AACUCAUGGUGAGGACAUGAACGGACAUCUCCUUGAACCGUCCCCAAGCUUCUGCAAGUGUCUCAUCCUUCUCUUGCUCAAAUGAGGAGAUCUUCCUCCUUAUGUC
rfam:Beta vulgaris subsp. vulgaris Bvchr7.sca009.con0090.1, whole genome shotgun sequence.